rnacentral:rRNA from 1 species
GGUCUGAUCAUGGCUCAGAUUGAACGCUGGCGGGGAUGCUUUACACAUGCAAGUCGAACGGUAGCACGGACUUCGGUCUGGUGGCGAGUGGCGAACGGGUGAGUAAUGUAUCGGAACGUGCCUAGUAGCGGGGGAUAACUACGCGAAAGCGUGGCUAAUACCGCAUACGCCCUUCGGGGGAAAGCGGGGACCUUCGGGCCUCGCACUAUUAGAGCGGCCGAUAUCGGAUUAGCUAGUUGGUGUAACGGCUCACCAAGGCGACGAUCCGUAGCUGGUUUGAGAGGACGACCAGCCACACUGGGACCGAGACACGGCCCAGACUCCUACGGGAGGCAGCAGGGAAUGGACAAUGGGGGAAACCCUGAUCCAGCCAUCCGCAAAGAUGAAGGCCUUCGGGUUGUAAAACACUUUUGGCAGGAAAAGAAAUGGCACGGGAUAAUACCCCGCAACUGACGGCAACGCGAGAAUAAGCACCGGCUAAUCAUUGCGCCAGCAGCCGCGGUAAUACGUAGGUGCAAGCGCUAAUCGGAAUUACUGGGCGCAGCGCGUGCAGGCGGUUCGGAAAGAAAGAUGUGAAAUCCCAGAGCUUAACUUCUUCUUGGAACUGCAUUUUUAACUACCGAGCUAGAGUGUGUCAGAGGGAGGUGGAAUUCGCGUGUAGCAGUGAAAUGCGUAGAGAUAUGCGGAGGAACACCGAUGGCGAAGGCAGCCUCCUGGGAUAACACUGACGCUCAUGCACGAAAGCGUGGGGAGCAAACAUUGAGAUAUCCUGGUAGUCCACGCCCUAAACGAUGUCAAUUCAGCUGGGGCCUUCGGGCCUUGGUAGCGCAGCUAACGCGGUGAAGUUGACCGCCUGGGGAGUACGGUCGCAAGAUUAAAACUCAAAGGAAUUGACGGGACCCGCACAAGCGGUGGAUGAUGUGGAUUAAUUCGAUGCAACGCGAAAACCUUACCUACCUGACAUGUCUGAAUCCUGAAGAGAUUUGGGAGUGCUCGCAAGAGAACCGGAACACAGGUGCUGCAUGGCUGUCGUCAGCUCGUGUCGUGAGAUGUUGGGUUAAGUCCCGCAACGAGCGCAACCCUUGUCAUUAGUUGCUACGAAAGGGCACUCUAAUGAGACUGCCGGUGACAAACCGGAGGAAGGUGGGGAUGAGGUUUGUCUCAAGGAUUCUAAGGGUAGGGCUUCACACGUCAUACAAUGGUCGGGACAGAGGGUCGCCAACCCGCGAGGGGAGCCAAUCCCAGAAACCCGAUCGUAGUCCGGAUCGCAGUCUGCAACUCGACUGCGUGAAGUCGGAAUCGCUAGUAAUCGCGGAUCAGCAUGUCGCGGUGAAUACGUUCCCGGGUCUUGUACACACCGCCCGUCACACCAUGGGAGUGGGUUUUACCAGAAGUAGUUGGCCUAACCGUAAGGAGGGCGAUUACCACGGUAGGAUUCACACUGGGGUGAAGUCGUAACAAGGUAAC